rnacentral:rRNA from 1 species
UUCGCAAUGCCCGAAAGGAUGACGAAGCGACGCCGCGUGCGGGAAGAAGGCCUUCGGGUUGUAAACCGCUGUCGGGAGUUAAGAAAUGUAAGGAUGUUAAUAGCAUCUUUGCUUGACUAAGGCUCCGGAGGAAGCCACGGCUAACUCUGUGCCAGCAGCCGCGGUAAUACAGAGGCGGCAAGCGUUGUUCGGAAUUAUUGGGCGUAAAGAGCACGUAGGCGGCUAUGUAAGUCGGUUGUGAAAGCCUUCCGCUCAACGGGAGAACAGCAUCCGAUACUGCAUGGCUUGAGUGCGGGAGGGGAGAGUGGAACUUCUGGUGGAGCGGUGAAAUGCGUAGAUAUCAGAAGGAACGCCGGCGGCGAAAGCGGCUCUCUGGCCCAUAACUGACGCUGAGUGUGCGAAAGCUAGGGGAGCAAACGGGAUUAGAUACCCCGGUAGUCCUAGCCGUAAACGAUGGGCACUAAGUAGAGGGGUUUU